rnacentral:lncRNA from 1 species
AGGUUCGGCCGCCGAACCUCAAGUUCAGCCGCCGAACAUGCAUGCCUUCGGGAGCGCCUUUAGACCCCCGAAAGCAUAAGUGAGGAAAGUCCAGGUUCGGCCGCCGAACAUGGCAUGCAUGCGGAGGCACGUUCGGCCCCUGAACGUGGCCUGGCCAGCCACUAUAAAAGGGUCCCUUAGCCGAAAACGGGCGAGCUUUUUCCCCAUUUCCGGCCAAGGUGAGUUCUCCGCCACCCCUCACCGAUCUUGAGUCUUUUCCUUCAGAUCUUUCGAGUUUUUCACAAGUUUUUACUUUGUUUUGAAGAUUUUUGAGUUUUAAGCAAGUUUUGGAGCUUUGAGGUUCAAGAACCCAAAAAUCUCCCACCUCCGAGUUUAAAACGUCUCUCUCUCGAUCUUCAAGAGGUAAGAGCCGAUCUUAAGCUCAUUUCAUGUUUAAAGUAAGUUUUAUGCAAGAUCUAUGGGGUAGAAUGCAUGUUUAGCUCAUGGUUAGGUUAUGGGUUUUAUUUGUGUUUUUGGACAAUAUGAGUUGCUUGUGUGUUGUAGUUGGGGUUUUUGAUGGUUUN